UCGGAAUUGAGACGUUCAAGGUACCCAGAGGAUGAAUGCUACUGAUCCACUAACUUCUGCUGUAGCGCCCCCAAGAGCUUGACAUUUGUGAUUUAGAGUGAAAUGUCUCAAUGACGAUUGCAUGGAUUUCUAUCCAAUCUGAUGCAGACAUUCAUGGUCCUUUUGACCUUUGGUGAUCCUCUCACUUCAUUUAGCCUGACUUUUAACGAUCAGGUCGUAGACUUUGGGUUAUCUGUCUAAUUAUAGCUUGGUUUUCAUUACAGUGAGCAUCACAGAGCUACGGGUCUUUUUCAGUAGGACUUCAUGAAGCCCAUUCGUUGUAGCUGCUGUGUCUACUUUCCCUCGCCAUACGAACUGCCAGUUCGAUCUGCCUUUAUAGUGAAGGUUGCUGCCAGGAGAUGGUGGUGGAUGUGCUGUGAGGGAACAAGGUGCAACAACUUAACUUUCCAUUCAUUAGGAUUUGAAGACCCUGUUCUCCAGAGGGCGUGUACAGGCAGCGGUCUCCUCUUCGACAUCUGCAGCCUAAUCGGCGUCCUCUAGCUUCCUCUGCCUUCCUGUGGAAACUGGAAACUGCCACGGUGCUCUGUUGUCGGAGCAAGAUUACUGCUCGCAGAGUACGACCCAGGGAACAAACGUCAAUGAAAUAUUAUGAACUUCCUCUUCUGCUGCAGAGACAGCUGUUAUAAAUAGCCAGGGUUAUUUUCAGGCAACACUUGUGAGAUUUACUCAGCCCUGGUCUGAUCUGGUCUGGGCUGAACCUCCAUGUGGGAUCUGGUUACAGGACUGUACCACAAAUAUACAGCAGGAUGAACCUGUGAACUACAGCUUGCUCUGUCCUGCCCCACGCCCUUCAAACAUACAUUGCUCUGUGUGUUUCAGUGGAUCUGUGUAUGAUGAGCAUGCAGUUAUGCACCCACAAUCCACCUCUCUCUAUCUCUCACAAACAGGGGUGAUUUUAAGGUGUUUAUUUAACUGCUAGCUUGAGUUUUCACACUCUAAAUCACCACAGGUAAUGCAGGUGUUAUAACUGACUCAGAAUGCAGAUGUAUUCAUUGUUUUAGUUCAGCUACUCCAAGUUACAAGUGCGUCAGAACGGAGCUUUAAUCUGUGCCUGAACCAAAUUCGGGCCCAAAAAUGCUGUCGUAGGUCGGACAUAAUAAGGUAAAUGUUUUAAUAUAUAUUUAAUAUUUUAUUAAUAAUGAAUGCGACUGUAAUGAAAGAAUUGAUCAUUUAUUUGUUUUAAUAAUCAUAUGUACUAUAUUUUAUGCACAAUGUUGUUUACUUAAGCUUGUAAUAAACUAUUCAAAUUUCAGGCUCUGCAAUAAUAAAACAUAAAGAAGGAUUAAAAAUCA